UUUUUCUUCUUCCUUCUGCACAACAGAAAGCAACAGGCAAGCUCUCUUUCAAAAAUCAUUCCCACUUUAGAAGCAGAGCCAAAAUCGUGACUCGGCUGACCUUGUGCUUGGGAGUGAUACUGCUCACAGCUCUGAAAGGCUCCUGCAGGUUAAUUUAGGUUCCUGCUGAAACUCUUCUGAUUUGUUCUGACUUUCAAUGGUUUCCUGGAGAUAAACUCACUUGCUAAUAGGCAGGAAUUAUUCCUCAUUUUAGGAGCAACACUCUGCCCACGCCAGCUGAUAAAAUAUAGGGCGGAGCCUGGCAAGCUACCUGUGAUGUAUCCAAUAUGCAAAAAAAAAGUAACAGUAACGUGCUCUUCAUGUUUCUGGAGCGAGCAGAUGCCAUUGGGCUACACUAGCACGUGACAGGUUACUGGCACCUGCUGGAGCAAGGAUGACAGUGAUACAGUGAUGAUUUUCGUUACAGCAAUUUAUCACCCUAAGGAAAUCUUUUUUUGAAAACCACCAAAACCACUGAAAGGGAUGUCUUCAUGAUUGUUAUGAUUUUAUGAUUAUUCUGCUAUACUUCCUGUAUUG